UGAAAACUGCUUUCGUUUUCAUUGGCGCCCGCAGACGUGUGCAACAUUUUCUUUACUUGAAAGUAAUUCGGUUAAAACUUAAUUUUACGAUUGCGUGUUAAAUGCGGUUGGCUAUACUGGAUUAAAGCAUUAAAUAAAGUACCUGGCUGAUUGGCAUUUCAAUUUAAUUCGAGGAUCAAGGUCUGCUAUCUAUCACGAUGAGCUCUGAGGCCCAGUUUGUGGAUUCGAACUUUGCAGCGCUUAUUCAGAGGGUCACCUCAGUGAUGGCAAUAGCAGAUGAACUAAAAAACAAGGGUAUGCUACAUCCUGAAACAUAUUCAGAGAUCCAAGCAGAACAAACCAACCAGGGCAAAAUGAGAAGGCUGUUUAAUGCACUAAAUUCUGGAGGAGACAGAGUGAAAAGUGACUUUUAUUAUGCUCUGAGAAAUCAUGAACUAUACCUCUUCAGAGACCUGGGUGGUGAGACACUGGAUAACAUUGAUGGCACCAAGAACAAAGAGCUACAGUUAAACUGAACACCCCCUGCAACCAAGAAACUGAAGCCUCCUGCAACCAAGACACGGAAAUAUAUAUAAAGAUGCGACCUGGAAAACUGAAAACCCAUGUGAUACAUUUUCCCCUGUGAAACACAAAAGAAGGAAUUAAUCAGAAUGUGUAGGAUGUAUUCUACAUCAUACAGGUUUUCAUUUUGUAGGUGAACAUUUUCAAGCCAUAAGCAUUUUUAUGCAGUUUUUUAUGCUAAAAUCUAAAUAUUUUACACAUUAUCAUCCACAGUUAUUUAACCAAGUCUUCAUAUUAUAAAACAUUUUGAAAAAGAGACAAAUACUUUUAUUGCCGUGCUUGUAAAAUAGCACUGUCACUGUCUGAUAUUCUGCAAAAAAUUUAUUUCUUUUCAAACUAUAGCCAACAUUUUCUACACCUACUUUUUAAUACAUUUAAGAUAAAAAUCUAAAUCAGUGAAAACCAUCCAUUGACUUACAUCAGUGAUUUCAUACUUGAAUGCUGAAUUAUCAUAUACUUGAUUUUAUGUAAUUUAGGGAUGCCUUCAUAUAUAAAUAGUAUACUGUCUUUUACUGAAUUUAUAGGCCUACUGUUAAUUUCCUUUCACAGUAAAUUGAAAUAAUCUUUGCACUGUAAUGCAUCUGUUUUUAUAUUUCACUAUAAGGAUUUCCUUCUCAUUGAUAAAUUGGUGGUUUUACACUGUUCUUUAAUUUUGUAAUUGGCAUUAAAUUUUCUUACCUGAAAUAUACAUUGAUUUUAAUAUUCUUGAUACUGAUAUAUCAAAAGAUUGCAAGGUACCUGAUGUGACUAUUCUUCAAAUCUAUGAGGUAAGGCUCUGAAAACAAGUAGUUAAAUAAAG